rfam:Zostera marina strain Finnish scaffold_2, whole genome shotgun sequence.
AGAGUGCACCAGGGGUGCCAGUGUGAGCUGUAGUCCAGGCAUAAUUGACCUGGGUAAGGCAAAUCUGGCUGAGAAAGUCCCUUUGAACCUGAACAGGAUAACACCUGCGUAGGGAGUGUGCAUUUUUUUUUUU